AGUUGGUGAGGGAAGGGCUCACCAUGGCGACGAACCCAAGCUGGUCUGGGUGGUGGAUCAGCGACACUGGUACUCACACACCAUCCCGACUCCUACGGGAGGCAGCAGUGGGGUAUAUUGCACAGAGGCCGCCAGCCUGCUGCAGCCAUGCCGCGUGUGUGAAGAAGGCCUUCGGGUUGUAAAGCACUUUCAGUCGUGAGGACGGUAGUGUAGUUAAUAGCUGCAUUAUUUGACGUUAGCGACAGAAGAAGCACCGGCUAACUCCGUGCCAGCAGCCGCGGUAAUACGGAGGGUGCGAGCGUUAAUCGGAAUUACUGUGCGUAAAGCGCAUGCAGGGGGCUUGUUAAGUCAAAUGUGAAAGCCCGGGGCUCAACCUCGGAAUU
rnacentral:rRNA from 1 species